ensembl:lncRNA
UGAUAGAGAUGAUGGAUGUGAUGGAGAUGAUAAAGAUGAUAAAGAUGAUGCAGAUGGUUAAGAUGGUGGAGAUGAUGGGGAUGAUAAACAUGGGUGGAGAUGAUGGAGAUCAGCUCUAUGAUGUUAGACCUGUAACAGAAUUUCUUCCAUAUUGUUCUUUCAGAAGCAAGGCCUGAAAGAGACGAAUCGAUGGAGAAGAUGAUAUUACAUUAAGGGUCGUACCCUCUGAGCACGUCUUAGGAAUGUUACACAUAAACACCCAUAAUGCCGUGUUUUAUGGUCUUCACUGGGUUAGGAGUUUGAUCUAGUUGAGGUUACAGCAUCUGAC